rnacentral:rRNA from 1 species
UGGGGAAUAUUGCACAAUGGGCGAAAGCCUGAUGCAGCAACGCCGCGUGAGUGAUGAAGGCCUUCGGGUUGUAAAGCUCUGUCUUUUGGGACGAUAAUGACGGUACCAAAGGAGGAAGCCACGGCUAACUACGUGCCAGCAGCCGCGGUAAUACGUAGGUGGCAAGCGUUGUCCGGAUUUACUGGGCGUAAAGGAUGCGUAGGCGGAUUUUUAAGUGAGAUGUGAAAACCCUAAGCUUAACUUGGGGACUGCAUUUCAUACUGGAAAUCUAGAGUGCGGGGAGAGGAGAAUGGGAAUUCCUAGUGUAGCGGUGAAAUGCGUAGAGAUUAGGAAGAACACCAGUGGCGAAGGCGAUUCUCUGGACCGUAACUGACGCUGAGGCAUGAAAGCGUGGGUAGCAAACAGGAUUAGAUACCCUGGUAGUCCACGCCGUAAACGAUGAGUACUAGGUGUAGGAGGUAUCGACCCCUUCUGUGCCGCAGUUAACACAAUAAGUACUCCGCCUGGGAAGUACGAUCGCAAGAUUAAAACUCAAAUGAAUUGACGGGGUCAUAGCUGUUUUUCCU